rnacentral:rRNA from 4 species
AAUCCAUAGGUUAAUGAGGCGAACCGGGGGAACUGAAACAUCUAAGUACCCCGAGGAAAAGAAAUCAACCGAGAUUCCCCCAGUAGCGGCGAGCGAACGGGGAGGAGCCCAGAGCCUGAAUCAGCAUGUGUGUUAGUGGAAGCGUCUGGAAAGGCGCGCGAUACAGGGUGACAGCCCCGUACACAAAAGCGCAUGUGCUGUGAGCUCGAUGAGUAGGGCGGGACACGUGGUAUCCUGUCUGAAUAUGGGGGGACCAUCCUCCAAGGCUAAAUACUCCUGACUGACCGAUAGUGAACCAGUACCGUGAGGGAAAGGCGAAAAGAACCCC